rnacentral:lncRNA from 1 species
AUAACAACAGCUCUUCUCUUCAGGAUAGUGCUGAAGCGGCAUCUAAACUGGAUCCAGUGGGCUUCCCUCCUGAUUCUGUUCUUGUCUAUCGUCGCCCUAACUGCCAGUACCAAAACGUCACAGCAUGACUUGGCAGGACAUGGAUUUCAUCACGAUGCCUUCUUCACCCCAUCUAAUUCCUGCCUUCAUUUCAGGAGAGACUGUUCCCUAGGAGACAAUUGUACAUCGAAGGAGUGGGCUUUCAGCGACGUCCAGUGGAACAGCACAGCCAGAGUCUUUAGUCACAUCCGUUUGGGCUUGGGCCACGUUCUGAUUAUAGUUCAGUGUUUUAUUUCCUCAAUGGCCAAUAUCUACAAUGAGAAGAUCCUGAAGGAAGGGACACAGCACACUGAGAGCAUCUUCAUACAGAAUAGCAAGCUUUAUUUCUUUGGCAUU